ACGAAGGGGGCUAGCGUUGUUCGGAAUCACUGGGCGUAAAGGGCGCGUAGGCGGCUUUGUAAGUCGGGGGUGAAAGCCUGUGGCUCAACCACAGAAUUGCCUUCGAUACUGCAAGGCUUGAGACCGGAAGAGGUUAGUGGAACUGCGAGUGUAGAGGUGAAAUUCGUAGAUAUUCGCAAGAACACCAGUGGCGAAGGCGGCUGACUGGUCCGGAUCCGACGCUGAGGCGCGAAGGCUAGGGGAGCGAACGGGA
rnacentral:rRNA from 1 species